rnacentral:rRNA from 1 species
GGUCCCAAGCGUUGUUCGGAUUCACUGGGCGUAAAGGGUGCGUAGGUGGCCAGGUAAGUUUGGUGUGAAAGCUCGGAGCUUAACUCCGAAAAGUCAUUGAAUACUAUCUGGCUGGAGGGUCGGAGGGGAGACUGGAAUUCUCGGUGUAGCAGUGAAAUGCGUAGAUAUCGAGAGGAACACCAGUGGCGAAGGCGAGUCUCUGGACGACUCCUGACACUGAGACACGAAGGCCAGGGGAGCAAACGGG